rnacentral:rRNA from 1 species
GAGUUUGAUCAUGGCUCAGAACGAACGUUGGCGGCGUGCUUAACACAUGCAAGUCGAACGAGAACGGUUUCUUCGGAGACCUAGUAAAGUGGCGCACGGGUGAGUAACACGUAGAUAACCUGUCCAGGUGUUCGGGAUAGCCCUUCGAAAGGGGGAUUAAUACCGGAUACGUUAGUCUGUUAUAAGGCAGAUUAAGAAAGGUGGCCUCUAUUUAUAAGCUAUCGCAUUUGGAGGGGUCUGCGUACCAUUAGUUUGUUGGUGGGGUAAAGGCCUACCAAGACUUCGAUGGUUAGCGGGUCUGAGAGGAUGAUCCGUCACACUGGCACUGAAACACGGGCCAGACUCCUACGGGAGGCAGCAGUGAGGAAUAUUGCGCAAUGGGGGAAACCCGUGACGGCAGCGACGCCGCGUGGGUGAGGAAGGCUUUC